GAAGGGGUGUAUUUAUUAGAUUAAAAACCAAUGCCCUUCGGGGCUCACUGGUGAUUCAUAAUAACUUCUCGAAUCGCAUGGCCUUGCGCCGGCGAUGGUUCAUUCAAAUUUCUUCCCUAUCAACUUUCGAUGCUAGAGUAGUGUUCUAGCAUGGUUACAACGGGUAACGGAGGGUUAGGGCUCGACCCCGGAGAAGGAGCCUGAGAAACGGCUACUACAUCCAAGGAAGGCAGCAGGCGCGCAAAUUACCCAAUCCCGACACGGGGAGGUAGUGACGAUAAAUACUGAUACAGGGCUCUUUUGGGUCUUGUAAUUGGAAUGAGUACAAUUUAAAUCCCUUAACGAGGAACAAUUGGAGGGCAAGUCUGGUGCCAGCAGCCGCGGUAAUUCCAGCUCCAAUAGCGUAUAUUAAAGUUGUUGUGGUUAAAAAGCUCGUAGUAGAACCUUGGGCCUGGCUGGCCGGUCCGCCUCACCGCGUGCACUGGUCCGGCCGGGCCUUUCCCUCUGCGGAACCGCAUGCCCUUCACUGGGUGUGCUGGGGAAGCAGGACUUUUACUUUGAAAAAAUUAGAGUGCUCCAGGCAGGCCUAUGCUCGAAUACAUUAGCAUGGAAUAAUAGAAUAGGACGCGUGGUUCUAUUUUGUUGGUUUCUAGGACCGCCGUAAUGAUUAAUAGGGACAGUCGGGGGCAUCAGUAUUCAAUUGUCAGAGGUGAAAUUCUUGGAUUUAUUGAAGACUAACUACUGCGAAAGCAUUUGCCAAGGAUGUUUUCAUUUAUCAGGAACGAAAGUUAGGGGAUCGAAGACGAUCAGAUACCGUCGUAGUCUUAACCAUAAACUAUGCCGACUAGGGAUCGGACGAUGUUAUUUUUUGACUCGUUCGGCACCUUACGAGAAAUCAAAGUGCUUGGGCUCCAGGGGGAGUAUGGUCGCAAGGCUGAAACUUAAAGAAAUUGACGGAAGGGCACCACCAGGGGUGGAGCCUGCGGCUUAAUUUGACUCAACACGGGGAAACUCACCAGGUCCAGACACAAUGAGGAUUGACAGAUUGAGAGCUCUUUCUUGAUUUUGUGGGUGGUGGUGCAUGGCCGUUCUUAGUUGGUGGAGUGAUUUGUCUGCUUAAUUGCGAUAACGAACGAGACCUUGACCUGCUAAAUAGCCCGUAUUGCUUUGGCAGUACGCCGGCUUCUUAGAGGGACUAUCGGCU
rnacentral:ncRNA from 1 species